GUCGGGAUAGCUCAGCUGGUAGAGCAGAGACUGAAA
rnacentral:tRNA from 6 species